AUUCCAGCUCCAAUAGCGUAUGUUAAAGUUGUUGCAGUUAAAAAGCUCGUAGUUGAAUUUAUGGGGAUACUUUAGGUCCACUUGUGGUACCGAAAAAUAUCUUCAUCUUUAGACGGAAUCUCUGUGUCAUUAGCUUGUUGCAGAGGGAAUGUCUAUCAUUUACUGUGAAAAAAUCAGCGCGUUCAAAGCAGGCUUAUGCCGUUGAAUGUAUUAGCAUGGAAUAAUAAGAUAGGACUUUGGUACUAUUUUGUUGGUUUGCGUACCUAGGUAAUGAUUAAUAGGGUCAGUCGGGGAUAUUCGUAUUCCAUCGUCAGAGGUGAAAUUCUUGGAUUGAUGGAAGACGAACUACUGCGAAAGCAUUUAUCAAGGAUGUUUUC
rnacentral:rRNA from 1 species